CCUGUGCUGGUUCUUGGAACUGGAAUUUCUUCUUCAAAAUAACACGUACAGUAUUUACUUGACAAACCUUUCCAAAGAAGAAAAGCUAAAAACAAACACAAAAAAACAAAACAAAACAAAAAAGAAACACCAAAACCAAAAAUAGAAAAGCCAGCAAACUAGAAUGAGUAGAGCCGAAGUUCCUAUUUCUGAAGAGAUAGGAAUAUAUUAAAACUCCUGGAUCAAGGUCCAUUCAUCCUCUCUGGGGGUCUUUUGCCAGGAUCUGUUGAUUCGACGGGAAACAGAGGUGUCAGCAGUUGUGGAUAUGAGGGCAUCUUAAAGGAGUUCCGAAGAUUUAGGAGGAAACAGGAGAAGUCUUGAGGAGCAUUUAUCACCACCUCCCAGGAGAGACACUCUUGAGAAUAACUUGUCUGACUACCAGUAUUCUUGGAUGCAGAAGUGCUGAAGAUGAGCACACACACG